GGUUAUGGCGGGGGGAGCCUGGUGCAGCGACGCCGCGUGCGGGAUGACGGCCUUCGGGUUGUAAACCGCUUUCAGUACAGAAGAAGCCCUUUUUGGGUGACGGUAUGUGCAGAAGAAGCGCCGGCUAACUACGUGCCAGCAGCCGCGGUAAUACGUAGGGCGCGAGCGUUAUCCGGAAUUAUUGGGCGUAAAGAGCUUGUAGGCGGUUUGCCGCGUCUGCUGUGAAAGCCCGGGGCUUAACUCCGGGUGUGCAGUGGGUACGGGCAGGCUAGAGUGCAGUAGGGGAGACUGGAAUUCCUGGUGUAGCGGUGAAAUGCGCAGAUAUCAGGAGGAACACCGAUGGCGAAGGCAGGUCUCUGGGCUGUUACUGACGCUGAGAAGCGAAAGCAUGGGUAGCGAACAGGAUUAGAUACCCUGGUAGUCCAUGCCGUAAACGUUGGGCACUAGGUGUGGGGGACAUUCCACGUUUUCCGCGCCGUAGCUAACGCAUUAAGUGCCCCGCCUGGGGAGUACGGCCGCAAGGCUAAAACUCAAAGGAAUUGACGGGG
rnacentral:rRNA from 1 species